rnacentral:tRNA from 1 species
UCAGCGGUAGAGAAACGCGAUAGUAAGGCGUAAGUCAUCGGUUCAAAUCCGAUAAGGGGCU